AAGGAAUAUUGGGCAAUGGACGGAAGUCUGACCCAGCCAUGCCGCGUGCAGGAAGAAGGCCCUAUGGGUUGUAAACUGCUUUUCUGAGGGAAGAAAAAUAUGUAUUUAUAGGUAUCUGACGGUACCUCAGGAAUAAGCACCGGCUAACUCCGUGCCAGCAGCCGCGGUAAUACGGAGGGUGCAAGCGUUAUCCGGAAUUACUGGGUUUAAAGGGUGCGUAGGCGGUUAGAUAAGUCAGUGGUGAAAGGUUGCCGCUUAACGGUAGAAUGGCCAUUGAUACUGUUUAACUUGAAUCAGGAUGAGGUUAGCGGAAUGAGACAUGUAGCGGUGAAAUGCAUAGAUAUGUCUUAGAACACCAAUUGCGAAGGCAGCUAGCUAGACCUAGAUUGACGCUGAGGCACGAAAGCGUGGGGAGCGAAC
rnacentral:rRNA from 1 species